CAUAUGUCAGCCUUACGUGAGCUAAUUUUUUGAAGACGUUCCCAGAGCCCGGGCAAAACAUACAUGGAUUAGUAUGUAGCUUAUGAACAACUGCAUAUUAGCCUUCAGAUAAUCAUAGUAAUUAGCAUAAAAAAAAUUCAUAGAGCCCAGGCAGUUGCCGGGCGGUGGCUCCGCCACCGAAUGGAGUUUGUAUCUUAUAAACAGCUACUGUGAAAUAUGAAGUAAUUAGCAAUUACGAAAGGAUUGAUGCAUAGGACUGCUUAGGCAGGUGCCAUGAGCAUAACUGAGGUCCUUGAGGCUGCAUGCCGAUAACAACUAUAGAUAUUCUCCGGAACAAGGCCUGGUCGGCACUGGCAAGACCAUGGUCACCGAGGUCAACCUGGGCCAUGUCAAGGGGCUGAGAAUGGUGGAUGCAGCCUCACAGGAUUUUCACUACACAAGGUUCAAAGCCAUGCAAAAGUUUGCAAGAACCCAAUUCAGCUUGAGUACAAACAGCAGUGACCCAUGUGUCGUGCGCCCCAGGCCCUCAGCAUCUAGUAUAUAUCAAC